NNNNNNNNNNNNNNNNNNNNNNNNNNNNNNNNNNNNNNNNNNNNNNNNNNNNNNNNNNNNNNNNNNNNNNNNNNNNNNNNNNNNNNNNNNNNNNNNNNNNNNNNNNNNNNNNNNNNNNNNNNNNNNNNNNNNNNNNNNNNNNNNNNNNNNNNNNNNNNNNNNNNNNNNNNNNNNNNNNNNNNNNNNNNNNNNNNNNNNCCCCAUGAUGGUUUAUAAAAAGCCAUUUUAGGCAAAACUCUUUAAACAAAAGGUCCUUGACCCAUAGGCUCUUUGCAAUGACCAUUUGAACAAUGACCUUGACAAAGGUACAAGGUCAAACGGUCAAGUCAUUACAUAUGUAUUUUGGGCAUCUACUUGUAAGAAUUUAUGUGUGUUGCCAACCAACCAACCAACCAACCAACCAAUCAAUCAAUCAAUAAUGAUCAAUCAACAAAUCAAUCAAUAAAUCAACCAUCAUGAUCAUAUCAAUCAAUCAUGUUUCCGUCUCAUGUGUUAAUAUAGGGUCAAGAUUCUUUGUUUCUUUUUCCUGUUUCAAUUGACCCUUCCAACGUGUUUAACCAACCAACCAACAACCAACUCAACCAAUCCAACCAACCAAACAACCAACCAACAACAAUCAAUCAACAAUCAAUCAAUCAAUCAAUCAAUCAAUCAAUCAAUCAAUCAACAUCAAUUUCCUCUGUUCAGUACCUUUUGGUAAUAUAGCUUCAACUCUGUUUCUUUUUUCGCUGUUAUAUGACCCUAUCCAACGUGUUAACCAACAAACCAACCAACAACCAACCAACCAACCAACCAACCAACACCAACCAACCAACCAACAAUCAAUCAAUCAAUCAAUCAUAUCAAUCAAUAAUCAAUCAAAUCAAUCAUUUCCAUCAAUCUGUGCUGUUUAAUAAGCGUCAUCUCUCUCCGGAGUUAUGUCCCUUACAUGAUGGUAAAAUCAAUAUAGUCAUAAUGUAAAAAAGUUGCCCCUUGAAGUACUUAACAUUUUUCACUGCUUAAAUUUUCUGUAUCUAUAACCAUUCAAGAAUUAUAGGGAAAUCAAAGACAUAUGAAAAUCUAAAAUAUGACCUUGACCUUUGACCUUGACCUAAUUUUCUAAGUUAGGAAUCAGGGGACUCAAAUAAAAACAUUCCAGGGUUAUACGGUUAACGGUUUAUGAGUUAAAAAAACAUACCGACAAAUUUAUUCCGUAAAGAUAGAUAACUCCUAUAAAAUUUCAUCGAAUCGCUUCGAUCCAAAUUAGCCAAAAUUUUCUGAGGAUGUAACGAACAAUUUGUAAAAAGAAUUUUGUCGCUAUCUUUUUUUGUUACGAAGGAGAUGCACACACAUGAUAAACAGUGAAUAGGGAGAUAACUCUUACAAAGAGAAAAUUGUUCGUCUUAGCAGGGUGAAAUUUAAAAGCGCAUAAACUAUACGAUACAAUAUGAGAAAUAUCUAAGCGACAUAUUGCGAAACAAACAUUUUAUCGCAAGAACAAAAGUUUGGCGGAAAAAAAAAAAAAAAAAAUAAUAAUAAUAAUAAUAAUAAUAAUAAUAAUCAGAACAAAUACAAUAAGUCUUUCCACAGAAAAGUGGAAAGACUUAAUAAUAUAAAAAAAAAGUUGUUUGUUUUACUUGAUGAAAAGAUUUUGAUGAAUAAUUGAUUUUUUUUUUAUUAAUAAUAAAUAUAAAUCAAUUGCUUUAAAAAAGCAAUUGUAGGGGGUCUUUCCCCCUUUAAAAUUAAUUGAAUGGGGGGGGGGGGGGUUUGUUUGUUUGUUUGUUUGUUUGUUUGUUUGUUUCUGUAUGGGGUCUAUAUUAUUGUUACCGGAGAAGUUUCAUGUUUAGUUUGGAAAGUUUUUCUUUUAUUUUAGAUACAGCGCGCGCGCGCGAGACAUCACGUGACGCGGGUUUAUAAUAACGAAAAGACUUAGUCUUUUUUAUUUCUUUUUAGGUCGGGACGUUGAACAGACAACAUGUAUAGAGAUGGAAUGUACACAAUGUAAUUUCUUUUGUCAUUGUAGGAAAUUGACAUUUUGAUCACAGUUCACCAGCAGUGCAUGUUUUGGAUUUAAUUGAUCCGGUGUAACUUUAAAACACAUUUAAUGAUUAUUUUUUGAUAAUGUCCAUUUUUCAGCACCUGUUUGUAACACAGAUUAGUAUUUCAAUCUCGGAGCGGACAUUUUAUUGUAGGUUUUUACUGAGAUUGACGGACCUAGCAAGCGAUUUUUACGGCAUUGCCAUUUCUUUUUUCUAGGAAAAGUCUUGAGAGAUAUCUGCAAAAGUUUUUUUAUGAACCUUCAGUACAUGUAUGCCCUGCUGACUGCAAAUUUUCAGGUCGAUUGUACUUGUAGUUUCAGAGAAUAUGUGGAUUUUUUUUUCAGAAGAGACGUAAGAACAAUAAUUAAAAUUUAAAAAUUUUUCUUGAAUAAUUGAGAGUUUGUUCCUUCAAUAAACUGUCAUAAAUAAACAGUCAUACAGAUUGAUUGAUUGAUUGAUUGAUUGAUUAGUUGGUUAGUUGGUUGGUUAAACACGUUGGAUAGGGUCAAUUGAAACACGGAAAAAGAAACAAAGAAGAUCUUGGACCCUAUAUUAAACACAUGAGACGGAAAAAUGAUUGAUUGAUCAUGAUCAUGAUUGAUUGAUUGGUUGAUUGAUUGAUUAAUUGAUUAGUUGGUUGGUUGGUUGGUUAAACACGUUAGAUAGGGUAAAUUGAAACACGGAAAAAGAAACAAAGAAGAUCUUGGACCCUAUAUUAAACACAUGAGACGGAAACAUGAUUGAUUGAUCAUGAUCAUGAUUGAUUGAUUGAUUGAUUGAUUGAUUGAUUGAUUGAUUAGUUGGUUGGUUGGUUGGUUGGUUGGUUAAACACAUUGGAUAGGGUCAAUUGAAACACGGAAAAAGACACAAAGAAGAUCUUGGACCCUAUAUUAAACACAUGAGACGGAAACAUGAUUGGUUGAUCAUGAUCAUGAUUGAUUGAUUGAUUGGUUGGUUGGUUUGUUGGUUGGUUGGUUGGUUGGUUGGUUGGACCCUAUAAGAAACACAUGAGACGGAAACAUGAUUGAUUGAUUGAUCAUGAUCAUUAUUGGUUGAUUGAUCAUGAUCAUGAUUGAUUGAUUGAUUGAUUGAUUGAUUGGUUGGUUGGUUGGUAUGUUGGUUGGUUGGUUGAAAUUCAAACACACAUAAAACUGUUUAAAUAGUGCCAAAACCACAUAAUUUGAUGACCUUGACCUUUGACCUUGUGACCUUCGUCAAGGUCAUUGCUCCACAAGGUCAUUGCAAAAGACCCUAUGGGUCAAGGACCUUUUGUUUAAGAGUUUUGCCUAAAAUAUGGCUUUUUAAAAACCAUCGAUGGGAGUUAUGUCCCUUACAUGAUGGUAAAAUCAAUAUAGUCAUAAUGUAAAAAAGUUGCCCCUUGAAGUACUUAACAUUUUUCACUGCUUAAAUUUUCUGUAUCUAUAACCAUUCAAGAAUUAUAGGGAAAUCAAAGACAUAUGAAAAUCUAAAAUAUGACCUUGACCUUUGACCUUGACCUAAUUUUCUAAGUUAGGAAUCAGGGGACUCAAAUAAAAACAUUCCAGGGUUAUACGGUUAACGGUUUAUGAGUUAAAAAAACAUACCGACAAAUUUAUUCCGUAAAGAUAGAUAACUCCUAUAAAAUUUCAUCGAAUCGCUUCGAUCCAAAUUAGCCAAAAAUUCUGAGGAUGUAACGAACAAUUUGUAAAAAGAAUUUUGUCGCUAUCUUUUUUUGUUACGAAGGAGAUGCACACAGAUGAUAAACAGUGAAUAGGGAGAUAACUCUUACAAAGAAAAUGGUUCGGCUUAGCAGGGUGAAAUUUAAAAGCGCAUAAACUAUACGAUACAAUAUGAGAAAUAUCUAAGCGACAUAUUGCGAAACAAACAUUUCGCAAGAACAAAAUUUGGCGGAAAGAAAAAAAAAAUAAUAAUAAUAAUAAUAAUAAUUAAAAACCAAUUGUUCAGAGAACAAUUGAAAGUCUUUCCACAUCAAAGAAAUUUUUGAUAAGAAGAUAGUUUCUUCAUACUGAUGCGAUAAAUAAUGGUUUAAUUAUAUUUUUGAGUGAUAUAAGGGAGAUAAUAUGCUACUUCCGGUGAAAUGAAUGUCACUUCCGGUCUCAUAUGAUAGCUUCUUUCACACUGAUUCCAAAAAUAUAUAGUUUCUAUAUACUUUUGUAUGUAGAAUGGGAGAUAAUUGGCCACUUCCGGUUUGUUGGAAGUCAUUUUUAGUCUUCAGUAAUCAGUUUAUGUAUCUAUAUGACAAAAUAUAUGGAUUCUGAGUACUUUUAUAUGAAAAAAUUGCAAAAAAGGCUACUUCCGGUUUUCUCAAGGUCACUUCCGGUAGUCAUUUUUCAAGGUCAUUUGUCACCUUAACCUUUUGUACAAGGUCAAAUGCCUUUAUAAUGAACUUAGUUGAAGUUAUAAUCAAAUAACCUCAUAUCAAGACAUUUCAGGGGCAAACUCCUAUAAGAUGCCAUUAAUUGUAAGACAAAUGUAGCAUAUCUUAUUACAAUAAAGCAGACAUUUUGCACUUGUUUUUUAUAUGUAUCUUUAAAGUUCAGAGAAAAUGCAAAAAACAAGCAAAAUCACAAUUGAGAACUUGACCUUGACCUUUGACCUUGACCUAAUUUUCUAAGUUAGGACCCAGGGGACUCAAAUAAAAACAUUCCAGGGUUAUACGGUUAACGGUUUAUGAGUUAAAAAAACAUACCGACAAAUUUAUUCCGUAAAGGUAGAUAACUCCUAUAAAAUUUCAUCGAAUCGCUUCGAUCCAAAUUAGCCAAAAUUUUCUGAGGAUGUAACGAACAAUUUGUAAAAAGAAUUUUGUCGCUAUCUUUUUUUGUUACGAAGGAGAUGCACACACAUGAUAAACAGUGAAUAGGGAGAUAACUCUUACAAAGAAAAUGGUUCGCUUAGCAGGGUGAAAUUUAAAAGCGCAUAAACUAUACGAUACAAUAUGAGAAAUAUCUAAGCGACAUAUUGCGAAACAAACAUUUAUCGCAAGAAAGUUGGCGGAAAAAAAAAAUAAUAAUAAUAAAUAUAAAGCAAUUGUUUUGAAAACAAUUGUUAGGCAGUCUUUCCCCUCUGAUGAAUGGAUAAUUGAUUUUUUUUUAUUGAUUGAUUUGGAAAAAGGGGGGGGGGGGGGGUAUUUGUUUAUUUGUUUGUUUGUUUGCUUUGUUAUGGGGUCUAUAUUAUUAUUAUGUUACCGGAGAAGUUUCAUGUUUAGUUUGGAAAGUUUUUCUUUUAUUUUAGAUACAGCGCGCGCGCAAGAUUGAGGAGACAUCACGUGACGCGGGUUUAUAUUAAGAAAAACUUAGUCUUUUUAAUUUCUUUUUAGGUCGGGACCUUGAACAGACAACAUGUCUAGAGAUGGAAUGUACACAAUGUAAUUUCUUUUGUCAUUGUAGGAAAUUGACAUUUUGAUCACAGUUCACCAGCAGUGCAUGUUUUGGAUUUAAUCGAUCCGGUGUAACUUUAAAACACAUUUAAUGAUUAUUUUUUGAUAAUGUCCAUUUUUCAGCACCUGUUUGUAACACAGAUUAGUAUUUCAAUCUCGGAGCGGACAUUUUAUUGUAGGUUUUUACUGAGAUUGACGGACCUAGCAAGCGAUUUUUACUGCAUUGCCAUUUCUUUUUUCUAGGAAAAGUCUUGAGAGAUAUCUGCAAAAAGUUUUUUUAUGAACCUUCAGUACAUGUAUGCCCUGCUGACUGCAAAUUUUCAGGUCGAUUGGACUUGUAGUUUCAGAGAAUAUGUGGAUUUUUUUUCAGAAGAGACGUAAGAACAAUAAUAAAAUAAAAAUUUUCUUGAAUAAUUGAGAGUUUGUUCCUUCAAUAAACUGUCAUAAAUAAACAGUCAUACAUAUUGAUUGAUUGAUUAGUUGGUUGAUUGAUUGGUUGGUUGGUUGGUUGGUUGGUUGAUUAAACACGUUUGAUAGGGUCACUUAGAACAAGGGAAAAAAAACCUCAAGAGACCUUGCAUCCCGUAUUAAACGCAUGACACGGAAACAUACAUUAAGUGAUUGAUUGGUUGGUUGGUUGGUUGGUUAAACACGUUGGUUAAACAUGUUGGUUUAACACGUUGGUUAAACACGUUGGCUGGUUAAACACGUUUGAUAGGCUCAAUUUAAACAAGCGAAAAAAAAAAACAUCUUGGAUCCCGUAUUUAACACAUGAAACGGAAACAUGCAUUGAUUGGUUGAUUGGUUGAUUGGUUGGUUUUGUUGGUUGGUUAAACACGUUGGUUAAACACGUUGGCUGGUUAAACACGUUUGAUAGGCUCAAUUUUAAACAAGCGAAAAAAAAAAAAAACAUCUUGGAUCCCGUAUUUAACACAUGAAACGGAAACAUGCAUUGAUUGAUUGAUUGGUUGGUUGGUUGGUUGGUUGGUUGGUUAAACACGUUGGUUAAACAUGUUGGUUAAACACGUUGGUUAAAACAUGCUGGUUAAACACGUUGGUUUAAACACGUUUGAUAGGCUCAAUUUUUAACAAGCGAAAAAAAAACCAUCUUGGAUCCCGUAUUUAACACAUGAAACGGAAACAUGCAUUGAUUGAUUGAUUGAUUGGUUGAUUGGUUGGUUGGUUGGUUGGUUGGUUGGUUAAACAAGUUGGUUAAACACGUUGGUUAAACACGUUGGUUAAACACGUUGGCUGGUUAAACACGUUAGAUAGGCUCAAUUUAAACGAGCGAAAAAAAACCAUCUUGGAUCCCGUAUUUAACACAUGAAACGGAAACAUGCAUUGAUUGAUUGAUUGAUUGGUUGGUUGGUUGGUUGGUUGGUUGGUUGGUUGUUGGUUAAACACGUUGGUUAAACACGUUGGUUAAACACGUUGGCUGGUUAAACACGUUAGAUAGGCUCAAUUUAAACGAGCGAAAAAAAAAAACAUCUUGGAUCCCGUAUUUAACACAUGAAACGGAAACAUGCAUUGAUUGAUUGAUUGAUUGAUUGAUU
rnacentral:lncRNA from 1 species